rnacentral:pre_miRNA from 1 species
GGGGACCUGUUUCAGCGUGUGUCCGCGGGCGUGCAUGGCUUUUGCUCGCCGGCCGCGCUGUAACCAGGCCUC